ensembl:lncRNA
CUAGUGUUAGGGUUUGGCUAGGGUUACUAUUAAGCUAGUAUUAGGGUUGGGCUAGGUUUACUAUCAUCCAAGUGUUAAGGUUGGGCUAGGGUUAUGAUUAUGCUAGGGUUAGGGUCUGGCUAGGGUUACUCUUGUGCUAGAGUAUGGGUUUGGCUAGGGAUACUAUAAUGCGAGUGUUUGUGUUUGGCUAGGGUUUCUAUUAAGCAAGUGUUAGGUUUGUGCUAAGUUUACUAUUUUGCUAGGGUUAAGGUUGGGCUAGAGUUACUUUAAUGCAAGUGUUAGGGAUUGCCUAGUGUUACUAUUAUGCUAGGGUUAGGGACGGGUUAAGAUUCACUAUUAGACUAAAACGUGUCAUGAAAAUUAGACAAAAUUAGACAGUGAUUUGUGAGUUUGUUUCUAUGACAGGGCUUACUAAAAGACACC